rnacentral:rRNA from 1 species
AGUGAACGCUGGCGGUAGGCCUAACACAUGCAAGUCGAACGGCAGCACAGUAAGAGCUUGCUCUUACGGGUGGCGAGUGGCGGACGGGUGAGGAAUACAUCGGAAUCUACUUUUUCGUGGGGGAUAACGUAGGGAAACUUACGCUAAUACCGCAUACGACCUACGGGUGAAAGCAGGGGAUCUUCGGACCUUGCGCGAUUGAAUGAGCCGAUGUCGGAUUAGCUAGUUGGCGGGGUAAAGGCCCACCAAGGCGACGAUCCGUAGCUGGUCUGAGAGGAUGAUCAGCCACACUGGAACUGAGACACGGUCCAGACUCCUACGGGAGGCAGCAGUGGGGAAUAUUGGACAAUGGGCGCAAGCCUGAUCCAGCCAUACCGCGUGGGUGAAGAAGGCUUUCGGGUUGUAAAGCCCUUUUGUUGGGAAAGAAAAGCAGCAGGUUAAUACCCCGCUGUUCUGACGGUACCCAAAGAAUAAGCACCAGCUAACUUCGUG